GUAUAUAUAUUUGUAUGACAUUCCAAACACAUUUGAGAGAUUGUAAAAAAACAUAGGACCUGAAAAACUCCAGACCCUACAGUUGGUGCACAGAGGGGAAAUAAAUGACAGGCGUGCACAUGCGAGGAGCCAGCAACAGCCCAUUUCAUUUCUAUAAUGAUCCUUCCGCAGGUUCACCUACGGAAA
rnacentral:misc_RNA from 1 species